rnacentral:rRNA from 1 species
AUUGAACGCUAGCGGGAUGCUUUACACAUGCAAGUCGAACGGCAGCGCGAGAAAGCUUGCUUUCUUGGCGGCGAGUGGCGAACGGGUGAGUAAUGUAUCGGAACGUGCCCAGUAGCGGGGGAUAACUGGCCGAAAGGUCAGCUAAUACCGCAUACGCCCUACGGGGGAAAGGGGGGGAUCGCAAGACCUCUCACUAUUGGAGCGGCCGAUAUCGGAUUAGCUGGUUGGUGGGGUAAAGGCUUACCAAGGCGACGAUCCGUAGCUGGUUUGAGAGGACGACCAGCCACACUGGGACUGAGACACGGCCCAGACUCCUACGGGAGGCAGCAGUGGGGAAUUUUGGACAAUGGGGGAAACCCUGAUCCAGCCAUCCCGCGUGUGCGAUGAAGGCCUUCGGGUUGUAAAGCACUUUUGGCAGGGAAGAAACGGCCUGGGAUAAUACCUUGGGCUAAUGACGGUA